GUGAAGAAUUCUGCACAGUUCUACUUAGGAUAUUGUGUCAAACACUUUUGCUGUAUUUUCUGCUCAAUAGUGCCACAAAGCUAAAUCUUUAGCCUUUACCAUUCCAGUGACAAUGAAAGUCUUCUUGUGCUUUUUCGCUCUUUUCAUCGCGGUCGCUUUUGCCCAAGAUAACGAGCCUUGUCCAUCGUAUUGUGCAUCAAUUCGUAUACCCGUUUGCUGUACUUACGAAGAUGGCACGUCUCAAACCUUCUCCAACGAGUGUUUUUCUAAGGGUUACAACUGUGCGAAUGGCCUCAGUUGUGUCUUUCUCAACAAUGGCGUUUGUCAGACAAGCAAUUGAAAGAAGUUAAACACCAAUCACACAUCAGAACUUCAAAGAUGGAACUGAGUUUUAUCUCCUAACUUCAAUAUGAAAUAAAAUGAACUCAAGAAAAUACUGAAGAUUUUGUACAUUUUAUGAGAUUUUCCAGUUUUAUCUUCUUUCAUUUUUGCAGGUGACAAAAAAAAACUAUCUAAUCUUGGGAUUGAAUCAACAGUUUAUCAAGUUAUAUAGACACAAUAAACACAAAUAGCUUAGAAAAACAUAGAAAUAAAAGAUCAAAUAUAAUAUUCUCUUUACAUUUUAUUCUUAUUUGAAGAAGAUUUUCAUGUUAAGAUCUUCAAAUAUGGAUGAAAAGAGUCUCAUUCGGCGGCCGGGUGGAUUUGCGGCUGCGAAACGGGAUAAGGAAGGAUGGUGAAAAGAGGACCAUCACAUCCAUACGGCAGUGAAGAAGCGCAGUCUAAAAGCGAAUUCGUAAGUACAAUAAGAAGAACUUCAUUAGAGCAAAUAAGACAAGAAUUACCAGUCCUUUGCUUGCAGUUCUCGACUGAAGCGACGCAAGCAUUGCUGUAAGUCUUCCUCGUUCCAUCAGCGUAAACACAGCAAACUGGCUUCAUAAUCAUCGUGCAAAACUGAUUGCAAAUCGGCUGAACGUCAGUCUCAUCUUGGCCUGAAGAGACAAAAGGGACACAAAUCAAAGGACUGACUAAAAGAACUUAGAUUAAAAUUUUACCGAGACACGCAGCAAUAAAAAGAGCGAUGAAACACACGAAGACUUUCAUUUUCACACAAAAACUGACGGUUUUUGCCUUUUCAUUUGGCACACGAAAGCCUGAGAAGUUUCACUGUUUGCACAGCUUUUAGCAUAGUUUUACCGAAAAACUGCCUGUAACCCAAUUCGACUCAGUAUUGGAACAUUGAUCGCUAAUGUGGUGCUGAAGCGACCUCCAUGACUUUAAGAUGGGAAAAAAGUUGUUGUCUCAUUAAACACAGAAGCCUCGUGGAUGCGCUUAAGGAAGUAUUUGGAUGAUUCAGUUUAAUUUCAGCAAAUUCCAGCAACUGUCCAAAUAAAAGUCACACGAAGAACUCAUUAAUUUUUCCGGGAACUCCGCAAAAGAAAACGACGCAGAAACAUCCGAUAUGAUGAAAAGAAAUAAAAGAAGGGAAACUCGGAUUAUUCAGUCAGUUUUCAAGUGAAAUUAUCCCAAAAUGAAGGUUUUAGUGUUGCUCUUUGCUCUUCUCGUCACUGUCUUUGGUAGGUCUCCUUGUUACCACUAAAUCUCCGAUCGUUUGUAGUCAGUUUGUGAUCUGUUCUUGCAGGACAAACUUACACGGAAGUCCAGGAUAAAUGCACGCAGAUUUGCACAUUCGAAUACAUUCCAAUUUGCUGCACCUAUUCUGAUGGAACCCGCGAAACUCAUGGCAAUAUUUGCGCUGCAGAAACCUACGAAUGCUUAGAGAAGAAAACUCGCACUGCCGUUGUUGAUGGUGAAUGCGAAGCCGACGUUCCAGAACCAACAGGUCCUGAUUGUAAUACAUACAGAUGCUCUAAUGACUAUGAUCCAGUUUGCUGCACUUAUCCUGACGGAAGCACCAUGACGCACACCAACGCUUGUCAGGCAGGACUUUACAAUUGUCUCGAGCAGAAAACACCAAAAACCACAACAGCCGGAGCGUGCAAAAGAUUCUACAUCAUGCCCUUCCCGAUGUAUCCGCCUCAAAUCUUCAUUCCGAUCGUCCGGAAACCAUCGCAACCCCAGGAAUAAGAGCAUGACCGAUAAGAAAGUCUACACAACAAUGAGCACGACUUCCUCUUGAUAAAAUAUUCCGCAGAAAUUGUUGCACAAUGCAAACUAUUCCCUCAAUAAAUGCAUAUUAAUUAAUAAAACUGCGCACUGCUGUUUUCGACCUACCUUCAGAUACUCUGCCAUUGUCUUUUCUUCUUCACGUGCUCCACUUGUUUAAACAUUUUGUGCUCUUCGUGAGAAUCUUCCACGUUUCAGGUGAAAAUAGUUAAAAAGCACUAAAUCGUGCCAUUCCAAAGUCAGUUCCUCAGUGACAAUGAAACUUUUCGUGUGCUUUUUCGCUUUAUUCGUCGCGGCCGCUUUUGGCGAUGACAACGUGCCGUGUCCUUCGGUUUGUCCAGACAAUUAUUAUCCGGUUUGCUGCACUUACAAAGAUGGAACUUAUAGAACAUUUGGAAACACCUGCGAACUUAGGGCCUACAAUUGCGAGAAGAAUAUUAGAUGCGCUUCUGUAAGUGAAGAAGGUGUGGAAUGUGACGAUGUAGUUCUUGGCCCUUGUGGACUUUCCAUGUGCGCGAUGGUCAUGGAUCCAGUUUGCUGUUCUCAUGCUGAUGGUUCUUCGACUACCUACAAUAGCGUCUGCCUUGCUCAAACUGCUCAGGAAUGCGGAGACGAACGUUGCUACAAUUUGGUCAGAGGCGCGUGCGCUAAGUGAACAACGAAUUCAGUCUUUUACUGAAUUUGUGCUUUGACGCCAAUAUGAAAUAAAAGUAAUCAUGAAAAUACCAAAGAUCUUUCUCACUUUAUCAAAAGUAUUCCUCAAAUCAAAAUAUGCACCACAAAGACUUCCUUCCAAUCAUCACAACAACAAUAAACACAACCAAAGUUUCUGAUAAAAUAUCUCAACAAUUUCUGUAAAAUGCAAAUUAUUCCCUCAAUAAAUACAGAUGUAAAAAAGACGACGCAGUUUAACUUUUGAUGU